CGAGUUGGCAGGGCGGCCGCGACCGAGGGUUUCGCCUCAGGUCGAGGAAAGUCCGGACUCCACAGGGCAGGGUGGUUGCUAACGGCAACCCGGGGUGACCCGCGGGACAGUGCCACAGAAAACAGACCGCCCGGCCACGGCCGGGUAAGGGUGAAACGGUGGUGUAAGAGACCACCAGCGCCUCGGGUGACCGGGGCGGCUCGGUAAACCCCACCCGGAGCAAGGCCAAGAGGGAGCCGUGAGGUUCCUGCGCAGGCGUUCGAGGGCUGCCCGCCCGAUGCCUGCGGGUAGGCCGCUUGAGCCUGCCGGCGACGGCAGGCCCAGAUGGAUGGUCGCCCAUCGUCCGCCGCGAGGCGGACGUGGACAGAAUCCGGCUUACAUGCCAGCUCGUCCA
rnacentral:RNase_P_RNA from 2 species